AUGUAUGUAUUUGCAGAAUCUGCAUGGUUUCAGAAUCUUCUUCCCAUUGUUUCUCUGUCUAAAAUGUGUCGAUCUCCUUUUUGUCUGGGGGCUCACUGUCUACUGCCAGGCAUGGCGCCAGGCUCUCAGAAAGAAAGUUCCUACCCUUCUAGAAUAUGGAUUCUGCUUAAUUUCUCUGUAGAGCAUCUCAACUCUAGAGCUUUCCUUAAACAUAAGAGCCCAAGAAUGAAGGGUGGAUGGGGCUCAUUUACCUCCGACUCAGCAGAGAUGUGUUUCUGGAAGACAGCUGGAUUGGACUACGUAGUCAUCUGCUAUAAAAGAACUUUGCAAACUGCAAGAAUUGCUUUGCAGUCUGGAGGGCCCCUGAGUCCAUGAGCUGCUUGACUUUGCCAAGAUUGCCAGCCUGCCAAAUUCUCAGCUGCCAAAAGACUAGCCAGGGCUUCCUCAUAUAAUGAAAAUACAAAAAAGGCCAUGUGCUUGGCAGACUUGCCCAAUUCCCUCUGCUUCGUAGAAAAAAAUCUCUGAAAAAGUCCAAGAGAGAGCUACCAUCUGGUCACACUCUUGGCUUUGUCAAUAUGGCACCCAACACUCAUCGCCAAGUGUCAGAAGGGCUUCCCAUGUUGGUGGGAGGCAGGCUGCAGAGAAUAUGCUGAAAUCAGUUGGGAGCCUAUUGAGGUAGGCCUUGGCAGACCGGUUUCGACCUGCAGUCUCAUCAUUGCUUCUGGCAUAUUCACAGAAGGGUCAACUUUUCAGCAAUAAAAAUUGGAGCAAUUUAAUAGCUGGCCCUGUAGUUGCUGAUAUCUGCUAAUUUCUUGAAGAAUCCACAACCCAUCCAAGCAAAAAUCCACCCAAUAACUCCAACACUGUGCAUCCCAGAUGACUCGAAGGCAAUACCAUUGGAAAAAGCUGCAGAACUGUUUUCAUAGUCCUGACACUUUGCAGUUACUUUGGCCCACUUUCUGCAUGCUUAGAUCUUCAAUUCUAAAAACCAAAGCCUCAGAGUUCCCACUGUGGCUCAGUGAGUUACAAACCAGACUGAUAUCCAUGAGGUUGUGGGUUUGAUCCCUGGCCUUGAUCAGUGGGCUAAGGAUCCAAUGUUGCCAUGAACUGUGGUGUAGGUCACAGACGAGGCUCGGAUCUCACAUUGCUGUGGCUGUGGUGUGGGCUGGCAGCUGCAGCUCUGAUUCAACCCUAGCCUGGGAACUUCAAAUAUAUGCCGCAGGAGUGGGCCUAAAAAGGCAAAGAAUAAAAUAAAAACCAAAGCCAAUUUUUCUUUUGUGCAGAAUAAUUCAUACUGCAAAAAUUCACUCCUUAUAAGAAACCUUUAUUUUAUGGUAAAUAGUCACAUGAAACUUGUGUGUUUACUAUGUCAUUAUGCUGGCCUUAGUGAUCUGCUUGGUUUAAACAUUAAUCAUGUUUAUCAUUGGAUUUUUGCCUUUCACAUCUGAAGUUGGUGGUAUUUAGUAAGGUCAAAGUAUUAAGCUAUACUCCUAUUUCUGAUUUUUUUGAGGAUUAGAAGUCACUGAUGGGGUAUGCACAUUUUGAGCUGGAAAGAUCAGUAUCACUUUUGGGGUGUCCUCGAGAGAACUAUUUUUAUUAUUGUCUUUUAGAUUUAUAAGGCAAGCUGGUACAUUCAUAUUUUUCUUCUGCAAUUAAAGACUCUGGUUCUCCAGGCCAGCAACAUCUCUAUAUGCCCUUGUCUUCCAGGCAAACGGAGCUUCAGGAUCACAUCAUACGCAAGCUCUUUCCCUGAGAAAGGUUCUAAUGUUGUGCCUUCAAACUCAACAUUUUCAAACUUCCUCACUUCCUCCCCUCCACCCUCCUCAUUCCUACUAUUCCUCACACCCCCUCAAGCCUGGCCAUCCUCUAAGACAUUCCUCUCCCCUUGUACAUCUCUUCAGACAGCAGGUCCUAUGGAUUUUGCCCGUCUCUUCCUUCCCACUGAAGGUGUUCAGAACGUGCAGCCCCAAAACACUGCCCCAAACCCUCUGCUGAUUCUUUCCAGCAGAAGGCACUUGAGAAACGUCAGGUGCAGGAUGCGUUCUCUGCCAUCUUCCUUUCUACAUAAAAGCAAAUCGUAGGAUCUUCCAUGAGAAGCAUGCCCUCCCUGCACCAGGAAGAGAACGUUCUCAUCACUAGAGACCUGAGGUCGCCACCGGCAUGGGUACACACCAACCAGCCUGA
rnacentral:lncRNA from 1 species